rnacentral:tRNA from 1 species
GGGAAGAUGGCUCAGUGGUAGAGUGCUUGCCUUGCAUGCAUGAGGCCCUGGGUUCAAUUCCUCAGUGCCA